GUAGUAGUACUAGCUACACUUUCUGCAUAACAGCCAUAAAAACAUCAUGACGAAGAAAUUAAGAGAUAUUGACAACGACAAAUCAUAUGGAUCUCCAAAUAAAUCUAACAUCAGAUCUAACACAAAAAGUAGACUCCCGGCUUUCUUGCCACCAAGAACGGUCAACCUCCAAACGACAACCGAAUAUGCACAUAAUUCCGACCACCACAGUCUGAUGAUCCAUCUUUACUUGUGACGACAGAUCCAACACUACAACAAACAUAUAUACGGCCGGACUUGAUCUAGCCAGGACAGUCGCUAACCACACACAGUCCACAAAAACCCCACAUCCAUAAAUUAAUUAAGCACAAAUUAAGCACAACGCCAACACCUAGCCUGCACAUACCCGCCGCAGAAACCCUACCAGAUCUGCCAGCUCGCCGAACUCCGCCCCCCACCCCAGCGGAACCACAGAUCUUCCACAAAAGAAAAUCUUCGUCAGAUUCGACAGGCUAGGAGAAAGGUUAAUCUUUUCUGUAGUAUCGAUUUUGUCUAAAACUAUUGCAAAAUUAUAUACAGUAGCGGUUUUUAGGGAAAUAGUUUUUGAAGUUUCUGUAGGAACAUAUGGUCUAAAUUUUAAUUUCUACAUGGUGUCUUUUUUUUUAAAUCACUGUUAAAGCUGCAUUUCAAUGGCGGUAGCUAGUUUUUGUUUGAAACUGUCGCUAAAUAUAUUUUUAGCUGCGGUUUCGUGUGAAAGGUAGGGAGAAAAUUCUUCGCUUCUCACCCUCGCCGAUCGACGCUCCCCUCGUCUCUCUCUCUCUCUCUCUCUCUCUCUCUCUCUCUCUCUCAUUAAUAUGCGCUCACCAGAUUCAGUAUAUAUUAUGCUCCUAAUUAAUAUUCAGUAUUCACCAAAGUCCCCAAGGAGGCACAUGGGCAGAUCCAAUUCAUCCUCGCCAAGACCAAAGAGCAUAAGCUAGCUAAGCUUCAGUUUGGUUGCUUCGUGAAACCUGGGACAACAUUUAUAGACGAUUGGCGUAUUCUCCUUCGACCACAUCGAUGACUGUUGGAUUUCCCAGGCGAAGAUGGGGACGUUUAGGUCAGGUUAGGCAACGGGGACCGCAAUACGUUUCCUUCUUGAGCCUUUUCCCAUGUCAAGAUUUCAGAAGAAUAUUGAUCAAUGACUGCAUCUAGGUUUCAUCAUGAUUUCGGUUUUGCAUUAAGGGCAUGAUUAUUUUUGGUUAAAUGGGUUUUUGAAAGAUCGGAUUUGCAGCAAUAUAUAUAUAUAUAUAUAUAUAUAUAUAUA